CCUACGGGCGGCAGCAGUGGGGGAUAUUGCACAAUGGGGGAAACCCUGAUGCAGCGACGCCGCGUGGGUGAAGAAGCGCCUCGGCGCGUAAAGCCCUGUCAGCAGGGAAGAAAAUGACGGUACCUGAAGAAGAAGCCCCGGCUAACUACGUGCCAGCAGCCGCGGUAAUACGUAGGGGGCAAGCGUUAUCCGGAUUGACUGGGGGUAAAGGGGGCGCAGGCGGGGAUGCAAGCCAGGAGUGAAAGCCCGGGGCCGAACCCCGGGACUGCUCUUGUCACUGCGGGGCUAGAGUGCAGGAGGGGCAGGCGGAAUUCCUGGUGUAGCGGUGAAAGGCGUAGAUAUCAGGAGGAACACCGGUGGCGAAGGCGGCCUGCUGGACUGCAACUGACGUUGAGGCCCGAAAGCGUGGGGAGCAAACAGGAUUAGAUACCCCUGUAGUC
rnacentral:rRNA from 1 species